AUUGAACGCUGGCGGUAGGCCUAACACAUGCAAGUCGAACGCGAAAGUCCUUCGGGAUGAGUAGAGUGGCGGACGGGUGAGUAACGCGUAGGAAUCUAUCCUGUAGUGGGGGAUAACGUUUCGAAAGGAACGUUAAUACCGCAUACGCCCCAAGGGGGAAAGCGGGGGAGCUUCGGACCUCGGGCUAUAGGAGGAGCCUGCGUCGGAUUAGCUAGUUGGUGAGGUAAAGGCUCACCAAGGCGACGAUACGUAGCUGGGCUGGGAGGAUGGUCAGCCACACCGGAACUGAGACACGGUCCGGACGCCUACGGGAGGCAGCAGUGGGGAAUAUAGCGAAAUGGGCGAAAGCCUGACGCAGCCAUACCGCGUGUGUGAAGAAGGCCUUCGGGUUGUAAAGCGCUUUCAGUGGGGAGGAAAAGCUGGUGGCUAAUAUCCAUCGGCCGUGACGCUACCCACAGAAGAAGCACCGGCUAAUUCCGUGCCAGCCGCCGCAGUAAGAC
rnacentral:rRNA from 1 species